rnacentral:rRNA from 1 species
GAUGGAUCCGCGUCUGAUUAGCCAGUUGGCGGGGUAACGGCCCACCAAAGCGACGAUCAGUAGCCGACCUGAGAGGGUGACCGGCCACAUUGGGACUGAGACACGGCCCAAACUCCUACGGGAGGCAGCAGUGGGGAAUAUUGCACAAUGGGCGAAAGCCUGAUGCAGCGACGCCGCGUGAGUGAAGAAGUAUCUCGGUAUGUAAAGCUCUAUCAGCAGGGAAGAAAAUGACGGUACCUGACUAAGAAGCCCCGGCUAACUACGUGCCAGCAGCCGCGGUAAUACGUAGGGGGCAAGCGUUAUCCGGAUUUACUGGGUGUAAAGGGAGCGUAGACGGCGACGCAAGUCUGGAGUGAAAGCCCGGGGCCCAACCCCGGGACUGCUUUGGAAACUGUGUUGCUGGAGUGCAGGAGAGGUAAGUGGAAUUCCUAGUGUAGCGGUGAAAUGCGUAGAUAUUAGGAGGAACACCAGUGGCGAAGGCGGCUUACUGGACUGUAACUGACGUUGAGGCUCGAAAGCGUGGGGAGCAAACAGGAUUAGAUACCCUGGUAGUCCA